GUCAGAAGUAUAUAUGCAAAGUUAAAAUGCCCUUAAACAAGCUGGGAAUGCCCAGAUGAUGAGAUCAUGACUUUGCAAGCUUCUUCAUAACAUUGGUCUUAAUUGGAGGCACACCUGUGGCUGUUUUUUAAGCUCAGUCAAAUGAUAGACCUUGGAAGAAAUGUGAGCGAGGCAACAAAGAUCAAUGAGCACCAGCAAAGGAAACAGGAGGAGUUUGUGUCGGCCAAUACCGGCGGACCGCAGGGAGCAGCAUCUGACGCAAACCAGGAAGCCACCUGAUGUGAGAGGGGUCAGAUAAAUGCAACAGCACCAACAGCCACACGGGACAGUGACUCACAUGUGAUAAGGUGAAGAGAAAUGGGGGCUUGUGAAGUGUCCAUACGUGCAGAUUACACGCCAGAGGAAAACAAUGGGACCAUCAAACUCCUAUGGGGUCCUGAGAAGAGGACUGUUGGGGUUAGGAAUGAAAAUGGAGUGGGAAGUGGAUAACCUGCUGCACAUUUGCAAAUCUGCAUCGCCUUUUAAAGACACACAGCAAGACACACAUUUGGAACUUAUUAAAGCACUGACCUGAGGAGGGCUGCAACCAAAGACGAGGGACUGCUCAUUCCGAUUUAAAAUGGGCCAGACGUCUUCCUGGCUUAAGUGAAGCUUUGUGGAAACCUGAAAAAAAAUACUGCUACAAUUUACAGAGUCACAGGAAAUGAAGGUUUCUGUAAAUAUGUUAACAAAAUGCAUCCUUUCUGUCAGUGUGUCAUCAGCUCCGCUUUAAUAGUAGCUGUCUGUGUUUGUAAAUAGGACUCUGUCAUUUAGUACUGCGACGUGGUAAAGCCUCAGAGACAUAAUUAAAGCCACCAGCAGUCUUUCUUUUCACAAACUAUGUAUGUGAAUUCGUGCAAAAUGUGUUUGGUCCCAUGUGAAAAUCCAUGUUUGCAAAGGUAAAGAGCCUUGCAAAACUAUUUAACCAUUUUUUACAUUUUGUCAUAUUGCAACCAUAAACUUUAAUGUGUUUUCUUUGAAAUGCAUGCAAAGACCAAAAGUCAGAAAGUUGCAAGUGAUUUGGAAGUGGGAAUCAUGGUAAUGGAAUCACCUUUUGCUGCAAUUACAGCUAAAAGACUUUUUAGCUAUGUCUCUAUCAGCUUUCUCAUACAGAUUCGAAGUUACAGGUUAAUCAGGUAAUAAUUUUGCCUUGAUUUGAUUGUAUCUCUCUCUGUUUACAAUUGAUUUUUGCUGGAAGGUGGGCAUCUUCAGUCUUUUCCAGCCUCUAACAGUUUUUUUUACAGGAUUGCCCUGUUAGCUCCAUUUUUCUAUCAACUGUGACCAGUUUCUCAGUUUCCCUGACUCUGCUGAGGAAAAGCAACCCCACAGCAUGAUGCUGCCACCACCAUAGCUUUGGUCUCUUCUGGGUAAUGUGGAGUGUUAGUUUUGCAUGUAGACAAAAACGUUAUAUUUUUAUCUCAUUUGAUUGGAGUGCCUAAUUCCACAUGUUUGUUGGAUCUCCCUACAUGGCUUAAGGCAAAGUUUAAACAAGACUUCCUGUGGCUUUCUUUCAACACUGCUAAACUUCAAAUGAAGGCUAGAUUUAUGGAGUGACAAUUAAUAGUUAUAUUGUCCAUAAAUUUUCCUACCUGAGUUGUUAAUCACUGUAGUCCCUCCAGAGCUACCAUGGGCCUGUCAUUUUCCUUAAAUUGCACAGCCAUUUACAUCUUUGUGUUGGUGUAUCACAUGAAAUUCUAAUAAAUAUAUUGAAGUUUGUGGUUGUGACCAAAUGUAACAAAUGUGACAAACUGUAAAAAGACUAAAGUUGUUUGAAUACUUGG